AGAACAUGUUGACAUUUGCAAAAAAUCAAAAACAAUCUGUAAGACUUCAGCUCUUCUAUUGAAAUGUAAAAAGAUUUUUUCAUUUUAAAAAAUAAAUAAGGAGCUUGGAAGAGACAAAGUGGGGCACAUGAAACUUACUUCAGAGAACAAAAUGGUUUUUAGUGGUUAAGAAUCGUGAGUAUAUGAGUACAGUCAUCCAUCCAUGCCUGCAGAGGGUGGGUUCCAAAGGAACCAAAAUCAUCAGAUAUUCAACUCCACAGACUCCAGAGGAUCGAUGAAACGGCAGGGAAGGGAUGGAUGUUUUGAUAACUCUGGGGUUUUGAUGAACUUAGAAGAAAUGGCAGCAUGCAUAAAUUAUGCAUAUUGGAAUUCCCCUUUAAAAAAAUGUUUCAUGUCUCAAGUAUGUUAUAGAAGCUGGAGAAACCUACCAAACCUAAAGGCAUGAGGAACCAUCACAGAGCAUUUCAGUGAAUAAUGUACGUGGAUCAGAGCUCGUAAACUCGUUAGUUGACCCGCUUCUUCACAGCGACAGUGGCUUAGACUCCAAGUAGAACAGCAAUCAAAUAGAAUUUUAGAAGUAUCCAUGAAUUUUGCAAGCAAAUGGAUGGAACUAGAAAAUAUCAUUCUGAGUGAGGUAACUCAGACCCAAAAGGAUAUGCAUGUUAUGUACUCACUAGUAAGUGGAUAUCAGUCAAAAAAAAGUAGAGAAUUUUUAGGAUACAAAACACAGAACUCAAGAAGGUUAACAACCCGGAGGACCCAAGUGAGGAUGCCUCAAUCCUACUUUGGAGGGAGAAGAAAGCAAAUAUAGGUGUGGGGAGAGGGACAGAGGGACCUGGGUGGGAAAGGGGACAGAGAAGAGAGGGGGGCAUGAUCAGGUAUUGGGAGGCAGGGGACAGGACGGAAGACCUGAGGGCCAGCAGAAAGAAAUGAAAUAGGCAACCUCAGGAGGUAGGAGUGGGGGGACCCUCUAGAACGUCCCAGAGACCUAAGAGACGAGAGACUCUCAGGACUCAAAGGGAGGAGACUUAGAUGAAAUGCCCUACAGUGGGGAGAUGGAACCUGUAGAGUCCACCUCCAGGAGAAAGACAGGGCAUCAAGUAGAGGGAUCCCAGUCGAAACUCUGACCCAGAAUUGUUCCUGUCUGAAAGAACUGCAGGAACAAAAAAGGAGGAGAGCAUGAGGGAAAGGAGGUCCAGUGAGAGGCCCAAAUUGGGAUCCAGCUCAGGGGAAGCCCCAAGGCCUGACACUAUUACUGAUGCUAUGGUGUGCUUACAAACAGGGGCCUAGCAUGACUGAUCUCUGAAAGACCCAACAAGCAAGUGGAAAGAGUCCGAUGCAGAUAUUUACACCCAACCAAUGGAUUGAAGCUGGUGACCCCUAUGGUAGAAUUAAGAGAAAGCUGGAAUAAGCUGAGGAGGGUGAGCCUAUAGGAGGACCAGCAGUCUUAACUAACCUGGACCCCUGGGAUCUCUCAGACACUGAGACACCAACCAGGCAGCAUCUACCAGCUGAUAUGAGGCCCUCAACACAAAUACAGCAGAGGACUGUCGGAUCUGGACUCAACCAGACAAGAUGCACCUAACCCUCAAUAAACUUGGGGUCCC